UGGGGUUGGCGGCGCUCAGCAGCUACCAGCUGAUGCAGCGCACCGUGCUCGCUCGCCGCGGCGCAGUGUUUAUAGCGCGUGCGCCGGGCGCUGACGGCAGUCGUCUGGCAGCGACAGCUCUGCCGGUGACGGCACACGCUGCUGCUGCAGAAACUGGACAAGGGCCUGCUUGGGCUCCUGGUCCUGGAUCGGUACGCCGGCUCAGUCACCUGAUGACGGCGGCGCACAGCGUGACCUACCCGCCCUACAGCCGGCCCAGCAGGCGGACGGAGAGGCCCGCCCGGGCCCAGUGCCGCACGGAGAGGCGGUGGCGCUGGAGGCCAACACCCCGGCUCGCGACCUGUAGCUGACGGUGCUGGAGCCGCGAGUCACCGUGUUGGCUGGCCAUGGAGACUUGGAAAAGGCCGGUGAGGUGCGUCUCCAGCUGCGCUGUCAGACGAUCCAGUGGAACGAGCAGCAGCCCAUGUACCCGUCCCGGCUGUGCCGGUGUGUCUCCCAGCUUGAGCGGCGCCGGCCGACCGCUGCGCUGCUCUACAACUGCCACGUCCACACACGAUGCACGGUGACGGCUGACCAGGCGGUGCUGGUCUCGACCGCGGCCGACGGCCAGCCCGCCCAGGAGCACCAGGUCGCCUC
rnacentral:misc_RNA from 1 species